AAGGGCAUGGAAAGGGAAACCGCAGGUGUCCCUUCCUGAGGAAAGUCCCCCCUCCUUCGGGCAGCCGGCCUCGCGCAAGCGGUGGUCCUGAGAGGGACGGCAACGGAGCAGAAACGACACAGCCCGCGGAGCAGGAUGAUUCCCUGCGGAUGACAUUUCCGUGGGAGCUGUUGAAACGGCCGACCCCGGCGGAGCAAGCCCAAAUCGUGCCUAUGAGUUGCCCGACGAGGCGCAGGUAGGGUGCUUAGUCGGAUGCCGCCACGAGGGGGCACCAAGGUUCCCCCUUCUAACCCCUUCCUUUGAGGGAAGAGGGUAGAGGGAGAAACCGUAGGUGUCUCCUCAGAACAGAAGGGGGCUUACUCCUGGCACUU
rfam:Aciduliprofundum boonei T469, complete genome.